rnacentral:rRNA from 1 species
UACGUAGGGGGGCAAGCGUUGUCCGGAUUUAUUGGGCGUAAAAAAGCGUGUAGGCGGCCUGAAAGGUCAGCUGUGAAAACUCGAGGCUCAACCUCGAGACGUCGGUUGAAACCAUCUGGCUAGAGUCCGGAAGAGGAGUGUGGAAAUUCCCGGUGUAGCGGUGAAAAUGCGCAGAUAUCGGGAAGAACACCCCGUGGCGAAGGCGGCACUCUGGGACG